GGAUGAUAAACCUUCAAACAAUCAAAUCAGGUUCUCUCAACUACAAGCGUGUCUCUAUCUUAAAACCUUUCCAAUACAGAGUUCGCAUAACAAAGAAAAUUAAAGAAGACAAACGAACAAGCCGCCAAGAGCCCACUGGAAAGAAUUCCCGUGCAGAGAAAAACCUCUUCCCCUUCACCCCUUAGUCCUCUCUUUAUACUAAUUUCUGUUCUGUUUUUGCCAGCUGUCCGUUUACAUUCUUCCACC
rnacentral:misc_RNA from 1 species